GAACUGGGCUCCCGGGCGGGCUGGGAGGCGCCGCAACGCAUUCCCGACCCGGCCCCCAGACCGGGCAGUGAGGCAAAUAACAUGAAUAACUAGGAACGAUUCGAAUUGAUGUUCUAGCAAGCAUUUAUGGAAACCUCACUGGAAACUGUGUUAAACGCUUGACAUUGAUUAACGCAUUUAAUCUUCCCAACAAUCUUUUGAGGAUACCCAUCACUGGAUGUAGGGGCCACCCGAAAACCAGGAAGAUCUCUUCUUGUGAUCCUUCACUUAAUUAUAUCUGCAAAGAUCCUUUUUCCAAAUAAGGUCACGUUCACAGGGUCUCGGGGUUAUGACUGGGACAUAUCUUUUGGGGGCCGCUAUUCACUGCUCUGUGAAUGUGUCUGGCACUGUGCUAAGCACCCUACGUAGGUCAGUUAGUUAAUUCUCAGAACAGGUGUGAAGUGAG